rnacentral:rRNA from 1 species
GUGGGGAAUCUUGCGCAAUGGGCGAAAGCCUGACGCAGCCAUGCCGCGUGAAUGAUGAAGGUCUUAGGAUUGUAAAAUUCUUUCACCGGGGACGAUAAUGACGGUACCCGGAGAAGAAGCUCCGGCUAACUUCGUGCCAGCAGCCGCGGUAAGACGGAGGGGGCAAGCGUUGUUCGGAAUUAUUGGGCGUAAAGGGCUCGUAGGCGGAUCUGUAAGUCUGGCGUGAAAUCUCCACCGCUUAACGGGGAGCUGCCGCUGGAUACUGCAGAUCUGGAGUUCGGUAGAGGAUCGUGGAAUUUCGAGUGUAGCGGUGGAAUGCGUAGAUAUCCGAAAGAACACCAGUGGCGAAGGCGACGAUCUGGGCCUGAACUGACGCUGAGGAGCGAAAGCUAGGGGAGCAAACGGGAUUAGAAACCCUGGUAGUCC